AGAGUUUGAUCCUGGCUCAGAACGAACGUUGGCGGCAUGGAUUAGGCAUGCAAGUCGAACGAAUCCCAGCAAUGGGGGAAGUGGCGAAAGGGGCAGUAAUGUAUGGGUACCUACCCCGGGGUUGAGGAUAGCCAUUCUAACGGAUGGGUAAUACUCGACGAAGUCGCAAGACCAAAGCUCCGGCGCCCCGGGAGGGGCCCAUAUCAGAUUAGCUAGUUGGGGGGGUAACGGCCCACCAAGGCGAAGAUCUGUAGCGGGUGUGAGAGCACGACCCGCGCCACUGGCACUGAGACACUGGCCAGACACCUACGGGUGGCUGCAGUCGAGGAUCUUCGUCAAUGGGCGAAAGCCUGAACGAGCGAUGCCGCGUGUGCGAUGAAGGCCUUCGGGUUGUAAAGCACAAAAGAGAUGAGAAAGGGCAACUUGAUCGAAUCUCAGUAAGCUCGGGCUAAGUUCGUGCCAGCAGCCGCGGUAAGACGAACCGAGCGAACGUUGUUCGGAAUCACUGGGCUUAAAGGGCGCGUAGGCGGGCGGCUAAGUCUGUGGUGAAAUCCUCCAGCUCAACUGGGGAACUGCCAUGGAUACUGGUUGUCUCGAGGAAGGUAGGGGUACGUGGAACUAUCGGUGGAGCGGUGAAAUGCGUUGAUAUCGAUAGGAACUCCGGUGGCGAAGGCGACGUACUGGACCUUUUCUGACGCUGAGGCGCGAAAGCCAGGGGAGCAAACGGGAUUAGAUACCCCGGUAGUCCUGGCCCUAAACGAUGGGCACUAGCUAGUAGGGUUCACAUGGCUUUACUGGCGAAGCAAAAGUGCUAAGUACCCCGCCUGGGGAGUAUGGUCGCAAGGCUGAAACUCAAAGGAAUUGACGG
rnacentral:rRNA from 1 species